rnacentral:rRNA from 1 species
AUUGAACGCUGGCGGCAUGCCUUACACAUGCAAGUCGAACGGCAGCACGGGAGCAAUCCUGGUGGCGAGUGGCGAACGGGUGAGUAAUAUAUCGGAACGUGCCCAGUCGUGGGGGAUAACGUAGCGAAAGCUACACUAAUACCGCAUACGAUCUAUGGAUGAAAGCGGGGGAUCGCAAGACCUCGCGCGAUUGGAGCGGCCGAUAUCAGAUUAGGUAGUUGGUGGGGUAAAGGCUCACCAAGCCGACGAUCUGUAGCUGGUCUGAGAGGACGACCAGCCACACGGGGACUGAGACACGGCCCAGACUCCUACGGGAGGCAGCAGUGGGGAAUUUUGGACAAUGGGCGCAAGCCUGAUCCAGCAAUGCCGCGUGCAGGAUGAAGGCCUUCGGGUUGUAAACUGCUUUUGUACGGAGCGAAAAGGCUCUCUCUAAUACAGGGGGCUCAUGACGGUACCGUAAGAAUAAGCACCGGCUAACUACGUGCCAGCCGCCGCGGUAA